rnacentral:rRNA from 1 species
UACGUAGGGUGCGAGCGUUGUCCGGAAUUAUUGGGCGUAAAGGGUGCGUAGGCGGAUGUGUUAGUCUCGCGUUAAAUGUACCGGCUCAACCGGUACGCUGCGUGGGAAACGGCACAACUAGAGGACGGAAGAGGUCUCUGGAACUCAUGGUGUAGCGGUGAAAUGCGUUGAUAUCAUGGGGAACACCAAAAGCGAAGGCAAGAGACUGGUCCGCUCCUGACGCUGAAGCACGAAAGCGUGGGUCGCGAAUGGG